UAUAAUAGAGAUUGUUAAAAUAUACACAUAAAAAGAAUCAUGGAAGUAAGCAUGAUAAGAAAAGGUGUUGUGAUGAUGUUAAUUGUAACACAUGUUGAAUGCAACUCUCCAUCUAAGAAUUUGGGCCAGCUAAGCUCAAAGGACUCCCAAGAGCAUGGUGUGUAUUUAAGUGUAACAUGUCAUGUCUUAAAGACAUGAUACACAACAAAUUUGAAGCAUGCGUGAUAGAUUGUGACAAUAAAAAAUGCUAGGCGCCGGUGCUCGUGCAGUAGUUCAUACAGAGUGUGAUUCAAGCUUGGAGAUUUGCAACAAUAAUAAAUAAAUAAAUAAUGUGUAUGGAUGAUUCUAUAUAAUGAAAUGUACUAAUGAAAUGUACUCAUUGAAAUUGACAUUAUGUCCAACUUAAAUAAAUUAUCUUUUGAUUCACAA